ACCUUGUGGAGCCGUCUGCCGGCAAGCUGGAUGGGUUCUCAGUGCCAGCAGCCCAGAAAGGCAACAACGAAAGGGCCAUGCCGGUGAGAGGAGGUGGCGGGACAGAGAAGCGGGCGGGCGGAGAAACAGCGGCAGGGAGAGAAAGCGGCAGUGAGCGAGGUGCCGAGAAGGCCUGCCGGGUGUGCAAAGAGGAGGCCAAGGAAAGGCACCACAGAAGGGUGGAGUGACAGAGAGAGGAGGAAGAGGGAGAAAUACAGAGUCCUCUUCUCUGUUGCCACUAUCAUCAUCAUAACUGGAACAGCCGCUAUGUAACUGCAUGCACUGAUGAGUGAGAAGAAGGGAGGGUUAAAAUCUGAGCCAUAGAAGAACUAAGGGAAGCCUAAUGCUCACUUCAUUGUUAAGGUGGUACACAAAGACUCUGAACUGAUUGUGAGCCAGGCCGAGAAUGCAUCCUAGGAGCCUGGUCUUAUGUCCUUGUCUGAUCCAGAACAUACUACCAUAUGCAGUGCAGGCUCCAUUUUCCCCC